UACGGGGGGGGUAAGCGUUGUUCGGAAUUACUGGGCGUAAAGGGCUCGUAGGCGGCCAACUAAGUCAGACGUGAAAUCCCUCAGCUUAACUGGGGAACUGCGUCUGAUACUGGAUGGCUUGGAUUUGGGAGAGGGAUGCGGAAUUCCAGGUGUAGCGGUGAAAUGCGUAGAUAUCUGGAGGAACACCCGUGGCGAAGGCGGUUCUCUGGGACGGUACUGACGCUGAGACGCGAAAGCGUGGGGAGCGAACAGG
rnacentral:rRNA from 1 species